UUCUUUACAGAGCCCAACGUGUAAGAUGGUUUGUUCGUGUAUAAAACCAGUUUGCAUCCCAUAAGGUCGUCUUCCUGCACGAGGGAUGGCUUGAUCAGGCUAUCGACUAUUGUCCAAUAUUCCUGAGUGCUGCCUGGCGUAGGAGUGUAGGAAGUGUGUGAGUACCAGAGUGGGGGGGCACCCUUUCAUGCUCGGUAAGGAUCAUUGCAUAGGUAGUGGGUCAGAGUGCAGACAAGAUAAUAGUAGGCAUGCACAUACAGUGCCAGUCACGUUUCAGAUGACACCCAAAUAAAUUGUUGCAGUUAAAACGUUCGUAGUUGAAUAUUAAAGAAUCCGAUGUUUCAUUUAAACUGGUUUGGGAAAACCAAAUAUAUUAUAUAUUUUGCUUUGUUCAAAAUACGGUUUUCUAAUAAAUUAUGUUUUUAUCAGAUAUGACAGAAUCUUUUUUAAAAUCUCUUCAAUAUGCUUUUAUUGCUUUUGAGAGGUUUUGUUACUUUGAGUAAAAUUAAGUGUUCAUAACAGACGGGUAGUCAUGAUCAGUUCAUUGUGUA
rnacentral:rRNA from 1 species